AUCCAAAGUUGUUAAACUAAUAUCAAUGAGCAAAGUAGUCUUUGUUCCAACAAAUACAAAGUACUGAAUUUAUCUGGAUAUUAUGACAUUUUAUUGAAACUCGAGGUGGAGUCAGAGGAUACGUAAGGUGGCCAUAGUUCUUACUAUCCGAUUCGAGGCUGUAUGCGUGUUGGACCUGCGAACAGCACAAUCUUGCUUUACCAGAGGAACCUCACCGUGAAAACAAUACCCUGAGCCAGAAAAGUCAAGCAUCUAGGGGUCAUCCUGAAUAAAUCCGUGACCUUCCAACUUUACGUAAGGUCUAUGAACAACCGUUCGGAAUAAGAUAAUAAUACUCUAGCAAAAAAAUACAGAGUUCCAAUCAUGAUUUAUGCCACGACGACUUUGCGAAGCGAGUUUUGGAAGACUACAUCGCCUCAGCAGCGCAGCCAACCACCGUCUACUGCCUAGAGGCCUAGAAACGUCCUCGCGUGUCCUUCUGCUCAACAAUCUAGCUCUCCUUCGGGGUACUCGGGCAGUUGCUAGCCAGCCUUCUCCUCCAGCCGAGCCCUCGAGCUACCCGGGUGGUGGUGCCUGUUAGCUGGGACGGCGUCGUAAGUGUCGACAUGAUGUCCGCAGUGUACAGAGCCAGGUCCCGGGCGUAGCCAGUUAAGCACGACGUAAAAGCUCCGACCUCGGCGAGUCGUGUUACGGUUUUUGGCUGACCGAUCCCACGCUGAGGAACUUCUCAUUUAUCAUUCGUUAUUAUAUUAAAUAUUGUAUUUACGUAACUAUUAAUUUUUAUGGUAAAAUAACUAUGUUUGAUGUUUUUUUAAUUGGUAUUGGUAAGUACAUCGUAAUUAUUACAUUUCCUUAGAUGAUUCUUGUCCUUCUGAAUGUUGCCUGGUGGAAAUCGCUCUUAACGACAGGAUUGGCCAUUGCACUUUUUGUAUGUAAUUUAUUUAUUUUGUAAUUUAUGUAUUUGGGUUGCUUUUGUUUAUUGGUGGAAAAUAAAGAAUACUCUACAAUCUA